rnacentral:rRNA from 1 species
CUACGGGUGGCUCCAGUGGGGAAUAUUGCACAAUGGGCGCAAGCCUGAUGCAGCCAUGCCGCGUGUAUGAAGAAGGCCUUCGGGUUGUAAAGUACUUUCAGCGGGGAGGAAGGGAGUAAAGUUAAUACCUUUGCUCAUUGACGUUACCCGCAGAAGAAGCACCGGCUAACUCCGUGCCAGCAGCCGCGGUAAUACGGAGGGUGCAAGCGUUAAUCGGAAUUACUGGGCGUAAAGCGCACGCAGGCGGUUUGUUAAGUCAGAUGUGAAAUCCCCGGGCUCAACCUGGGAACUGCAUCUGAUACUGGCAAGCUCGAGUCUCGUAGAGGGGGGUAGAAUUCCAGGUAUAGCGGUGAAAUGCGUAGAGAUCUGGAGGAAUACCGGUGGCGAAGGCGGCCCCCUGGACGAAGACUGACGCUCAGGUGCGAAAGCGUGGGGAGCAAACAGGAUUAGAUACCCCUGUAGUC